rnacentral:rRNA from 1 species
AUGGUCUCGACGCGGCCGGCACCACGAGCCGCGCGCCAGAUGGUGUGCUUGGUGGGGAUGAAGGCGACGUCGUACGCCCACACCCAGCACGCGAAGGUCCGUGUGUGGCCGCGCUCGUGCGUGCGGCUGUCGAGCCGGUCGAUGAUGCAUUUGUUUCCGAGCACCUCCGCCGCACCGUCGACAGACCACAGGUGCAUGGGCAUCUUCUCGAUGACGACGCGGACGUGGAGGAGGAAGUCUUCAUGGUCGGCGUGGAUGUCCUCGUGCCACGGCUUGAUGGUGAAGGCGAUGCCGUCGACGUUGAUGGAGCCCAAGCGGACGGCAUUGUCCCGGUGCGCCGGCAGCUCGAAAUGGACGAGGAAGUCCUCCGGGUCGUGGCUGGUCACCCGCAGCAGGUGCGCCGGAGUGCGGAGAGCGGCGUCGAAGGCGUGGCCGACGGACAUGGGGCUCGCCGCGUGCCGCUCAGCCGUGGAGAUGAGGAGGACGGCGUGGCGACGAAGGAGGAACAUCUGGUGCUCCAUCUCCGGCGACUCGAUCACCACCUUGUGGCCGUCCCUUGGCCGGCGCGAGGGGUCGGUAUGGCGGCAGCGGUCCAUGGCCGGCGCGGGCGGAGGGGGCGUGGGAAAGCGGAGCCUCUCGCGGACGGGAGCGCGGCUAGCAGUGGGCGCCGGACCACCAGUGCGGCCGCGCCGGAUUUGGGGGCAGUCCUUGGCGAUGUGGCCCGGUAGCUUGCACUCAAUGCAGCGUAUGGGAUCUCUACAAUCAACGCGGCGAUGCUUGGAGCUGAGGCACCGGAAGCAGAGUCCCCUGAAACGCCUUAAGAAGGCCGCGCGGGCAGCGUCCGCAUUGAAGGAGGGGCGUUGGCCUCGGGGUCGCCGCGAGCGCGCAGGGAGGCAUGGGCGCGCGCGGCGGCGCGGCGCGCGUUGCGGGACAGGACCGGCGUCCAUCCAUGGGCUUGGCUCGGAGAGGAAAGGUCGGUGCGGGGGGAGGGGCAGACCACAAUGGAUUUUAGGCGGAGUGGCUCCGAAAGUCGAUCCCUGCUAA